rnacentral:misc_RNA from 1 species
GGCAGGUAGGCUCCUUAUAAGAUGUAGGCAUCCGCUAAGAACGGAUUUUACGAAACUCGACCCCUAAGGGGGUGAAAUGGGGGUUGCAAGUUUGUAUGAACGUCCUAUGAUUUUGAAGUAAGAGACUUGAAAUUUAAAAUGUAUGCUCUAUAGAUGAUGAGAAGGUGUUCAAAUAAUAUAUCUUUAGAAAUCAACUCCCUUUUGGGGUUGAAUCGGGGGAUGGUAGAUUGAUUCAUUCAUCACGAAAUCUCCGAAACUAUAAGAGCUACAAAUUUGAUAUUUGAC